UUGACUAAAGCCAAACAGAGGCUGAUCACUGUUACUGAUCCAAUUGGAGCCUCCUUGUCGUU
rnacentral:tRNA from 1 species